CAGUAGCCGCGGUAAAACGUAGGUCCCGAGCGUUGUCCGGAUUUAUUGGGCGUGAAGGGCUCGCAGGCGGUUUCUUAAGUCUGAUGUGAAAGCCCCCGGCUCAACCGGGGAGGGUCAUUGGAAACUGGGAAACUUGAGUGCAGAAGAGGAGAGUGGAAUUCCACGUGUAGCGGUGAAAUGCGUAGAGAUGUGGAGGAACACCAGUGGCGAAGGCGACUCUCUGGUCUGUAACUGACGCUGAGGAGCGAAAGCGUGGGGAGCGAACAGGAUUAGAUACCCGUGUAGUCCCUGUCUCUUAUAA
rnacentral:rRNA from 1 species